rnacentral:lncRNA from 1 species
CUUAGUGACACUGCAAAAAUAUUGUGUGUCAUUUUUUUCCUAACUUAUACAAACAAUUGUGUGUUGUGCAGGGAGUGCCAGGAAGACCUGGACAUCCUGGUCCAGCUGGUGCAAAAGGAGAAAAGGGUAGUGAAGGUUCUCCUGGGAAACCUGGACCACCUGGGCCUCCGGGUAUGCCUUACAAUGAAAGAAAUGGAAUGAGCAGCUUAUAUAAACUGCAGGUAUUUCUAUUUAAUGUUAAUUGCUUUUUUUUCAAUCCCCACCCAAUUUUAUCUCAACUCAACUUUUAACCUUG